CCAGGAAGCUUCCAGGAAUCUUGCUGAAAAGUAGGUUCUGGUUCAGUGGGUCAGGAGUAGUGUCUGAGAGUCUGUAUUUCCAACAACUUGCAAGAGAUGCCAGU
rnacentral:pre_miRNA from 1 species